rnacentral:rRNA from 1 species
CCUACGGUGUGCAGCAGUGGGGAAUAUUGCACAAUGGGGGAAACCCUGAUGCAGCGACGCCGCGUGAGUGAAGAAGUAUCUCGGUAUGUAAAGCUCUAUCAGCAGGGAAGAAAAUGACGGUACCUGACUAAGAAGCCCCGGCUAACUACGUGCCAGCAGCCGCGGUAAUACGUAGGGGGCAAGCGUUAUCCGGAUUUACUGGGUGUAAAGGGAGCGUAGACGGCGGGGCAAGUCUGGAGUGAAAGGCCGGGGCCCAACCCCGGGACCGCUCUGGAAACUGCCCGGCUGGAGUGCGGGAGAGGUAAGCGGAAUUCCUAGUGUAGCGGUGAAAUGCGUAGAUAUUAGGAGGAACACCAGCGGCGAAGGCGGCUUACUGGACCGUGACUGACGUUGAGGCUCGAAAGCGUGGGGAGCAAACAGGAUUAGAUACCCUAGUAGUC